rnacentral:pre_miRNA from 14 species
UUCUAAUACUUCCUUGUGAAAGACCCCCGGAGCGGGGAGACCCUCACUCAAGUCUCCGGAUGACGAGAUCCCCCAAGAACUCACGGGGGACC